CACACACACACACACACACACACACACACACACACAGAGUACAGAACGCCUAAAAUUCUCUAAAUUGUGUGCUAAGUGCUAAGACAUGGGAUUAAUAUCUCCUCUCACAUGAAUCCCAGAGAGAGAGAGAGAGAGAGGCAGUGGUCGUUGUUCAUGCAAACCCUUCUACCUCUUUCUGUCUCUCUGGGUCUCCUGGUUAGAGGAUCACAAAACAAUGCAUGUGAACCGGGUCCAUACAAUGAAGAAUCCAAUCUGGUUAGGUUUUCGCCAUCUAUUUUGCCUGCACCUUUAAGUUUCACGAAUCAUGGAGUUGUUCUUCAAGAAUUUAACUAUAUUCAUAGCUUUUGUAACCCAGGUGAUAUGCAUUGAAAUUGCUCUAAAAAAGAAUAAAGAUCAAUCUUGCACCUUGCCCUCUGAUGAUUUACUUAACCUGCUCUGAUGAUAUCUACUUGCGAUUCUGCUGAGCCUAAAUCUAUCGAUUCUCAAGACCAUCCGUCUUUAGCUUUGCUAACAUGGUGAUUUUGAUACUCGAUUUCUUUUUCUUUGAUUAUGGAAUUGGAGUUUUAAUAAUACCAUGAGUUCUUGAUGCUAGAUAUUUCAUACACGGACCCAGAAAAAUGGGCUUAGUUGCCAUAAACAUAUCAUAGACUUUAAAGAACAUGGGCCUGAUCCUCAGACAAAAAUUUGGCGGGUUUGGGUCAGUAAUGAAAUAUUGGUAUAGUUGUCGUGUGUGUUUGCAGUGUGGUAGAAUGAAAAAUCUUACAUAUUUGUUGUUUUAAAUUAAUUAUUAAUUUUUUAAUAUUUUUUUGUAUACGAUGAAUUUAAAAAUAAAUUUUUCUCUCUUUUAUUUUCUUUCUUGGGUCAUCAUUAGGCAACCAAUUAUGAUCAUGUAGCAAUUUUCAUGUUUUCAUUUAUUUAGUAUAUAAAUUCAUUCUAAAAUUAUUCAAAAAAAAUAUAUAUCUAAUUUUUUUAUUUAUCUUUUAAACCAAAUAUAUUUAUAUAUUUUUCUAUUUUGUGCAACUUAAAAAACCAAAGACUUUAGCAACAACGAAACAAGUUGGUUGACUCCUCAAAAUUGUAAGAAAUUCAUACCGGUCACUAUAAUUUUAGGUUUAUUUUAUCAUGGUAUCUAUAUUCUUAAUUUUUUUUCCAUAAUAUUUUGAGCAUAUUCAAUGUUGCAUGAUAGCUGAAAUUCUUAUUUUGGAGACCCCUCCGCUGGUUAAUCAUAAAAUGAAGAAGACAAAGCAGCCAUUAAUUAAACCAACAUUGUUUUUAAUCGUUUAUUUACAUCAAACAAGAAAAUACAUUAGUUCACGGGCUAACUUCCUGCUCUGCUCAGGCAUCUUGCAUGGUUUGGCAGCAAAAGGCCAAUGCUCUUUCCGGCCACUGCAGCUUCACAGCAAAGUCAUGCCUGACAUUUCCAAAAAGAUCAUAAAUCUGACAGGUAAAAACAAAAAUUAUAAAUGUUAUAUACUUAGAGUGAUAAUAUUAAAGUAUGUAUGAAUUAUAUUGGAUCUAAGAAAUUAUAAAUGCUUGAAUUUAGGUUUUAUAUUGUGCUUAACAAUAUUUAUAUUAUAAUCCAUUAAUUGGAUAAGAUAAGUUUAGGUGUGGAAGCAAUUCUUCUUCCUUUCUACUAAAUUUGAUGCUUUUUUAAUGUGUUUUUUCAGUUUAUUUGGUAUUUGUAUUUUAGUUUAAGACUUGUUUUUUACUUGUUUCUUGUGUUAUUUUUAUAUUAAUGUUUAAAAAUUAAAAAUAAUUAUAAGAACUAAUAUCUCUAUUUAAAUUGAAUUUUGAAUCAUGAUGGCAUGGAUAUGUUAAUACUUCGACCUCCAAUAAACAACACCUUAAUCUUGAAUUCUUUUGAGAAUUUCAUAUUAUUAUUAUUAUUAUUAUUUAUUAAUAUAGAUAUUCAGAUCAACUUGCGUGUACCUUGAUUAACCCUACAAGUCUUGAAAUUAACAAUUAUAUAAGUCUCUAUUGACUAUAAAAAAAUUUAUUAUUAUUAUUAUUAUACAAGAUAACUUUGAGAUUGAAAUUUUUUAAAAGAAAAAAAGAAUUAGCUCCAAUGAGCUACAAAUUCAUUAGAUCUAUAUUUUUCUCAGAAAUAUUUUUUAUUAUUUCCUCCUUUGGAUUUAUUUUCUGUAUCGGACUUUAUAUAUAGUUGACUUGGAUUGUUCUUCCAAGGCAGGAAGGAAUAAGGAGGGAGGAGCUAGGCUCCAAGGAGGAGAUAGAUAGCCACGUGAGUUGCCCAAACAACUGUGACGCCCAACAUGCACACUGCAAUUCCAGACAAAAUGCUUUUGCUAUGCGAACCACCGUGGAGAUUCCUUUUCUUGGACAUGCUAUCCUGUUCAAGGGACACAUGCCUAGAGAUCAGCCAUGAUAAGUAUAUUAAAAAGUUUUUUUUUUAAUUAGCACAGUAAAUACAAAAAAUUAUUAGUGCAACACAGUUUGAAAACGGUUAGGUGAAAUAUGACACUUUCAUCUUAUUGUAUUUUAAAAAUG
rnacentral:lncRNA from 1 species